rnacentral:lncRNA from 1 species
UAUGGGAUCCAUCUCUUUUUGUUGGCAAUGGAGCGUAUGCAAAUGGCUACAAUAGAAUUGUAGAGUUUUCAAGCUUUAAACCUAAUAUAUUUUUCACAUAGUUGUAUUUUUACCCAUUCUACUAAGAAUUUUCUGCAAUUUGACUUCAGUAAUUAAUUACUAACAAAGAAUUAUUUACCUUCCAUAGAUGUCUUGUCAGGUCAUGGUAUACACAAUCAAUUAAAAU